AAACGACUCAGUUGUAACGCAGACUUCACCGUGACGAGUUGGGGCUCUCCAUCAUGGUAACGCGUCCUGAAAAUGGCGGGGGCUAUUAUGCCGGUCCAGAAACCAGUCCACGAGCUGUCGAGUGGUACCCACACGAUGGAAAGCGUUCAAUCGGAAGACCUCCACACAGAAAUUUACACGAAAGGUCCAAUGAUAUAAGACGUUUACCGACCUGUAACUAAGAGGUGUGAAAUAUUUCAUGGUUGUGACGAAAACUUACAUUGCAUGCUGCAUGGAAAGAAGACAUGGAGGCUUUUAAUGGGGUCAAUUAUGAUCUUAUACACUCAUCAUAUUCAUUAUCAAAGACGAAAACUUAAGAAUAUUGGAGCUUACCUUCUGGAGCAUUCGUAACACCUUUGGGAAGGAUUACAAGAAGGAAUAAAGUUACCGGAAAUGUAUACAUCUGUUAGUAAAGAACC